AUGAACGCUGGCGGCGUGCCUAAUCCAUGCAAGUCGAGCGAACAGACGAGGAGCUUGCUCCUCUGACGUUAGCGGCGGACGGGUGAGUAACACGUGGAUAACCUACCUAUAAGACUGGGAUAACUUCGGGAAACCGGAGCUAAUACCGGAUAAUAUAUUGAACCGCAUGGUUCAAUAGUGAAAGACGGUUUUGCUGUCACUUAUAGAUGGAUCCGCGCCGCAUUAGCUAGUUGGUAAGGUGACGGCUUACCAAGGCAACGAUGCGUAGCCGACCUGAGAGGGUGAUCGGCCACACUGGAACUGAGACACGGUCCAGACUCCUACGGGAGGCAGCAGUAGGGAAUCUUCCGCAAUGGGCGAAAGCCUGACGGAGCAACGCCGCGUGAGUGAUGAAGGUCUUCGGAUCGUAAAACUCUGUUAUUAGGGAAGAACAAAUGUGUAAGUAACUAUGCACGUCUUGACGGUACCUAAUCAGAAAGCCACGGCUAACUACGUG
rnacentral:rRNA from 1 species